rnacentral:tRNA from 1 species
GCGAGCGCGGCUUAACGGCAGAACAACAGCCUUCCAGGCUGUGAGCGUGGGUUCGGAUUCCCGUCGCCCGCUCGA